CCACGCUGCGCCGCCUCAAGCAGGGCUCCACCCGCACGCGCGUCGCCUUCUACGAGGAACUGUAGGCCACGGAACAUUGGGGAGUCAACUGUAUUUAUUUACAAGCAGUGUAAGUUGAAUAUUAUUAUGUCAAUAUGUUAGUACAAAGUGUUUUAAUGUAAAAUCAAAAGUGCCUUAUCUCAAAGAAAACAUGUAUCAAAAGAAAAUCAUAAUAACAUCAAGCAAUUUAAAAUUCU